AAGUCGUAACAAGGUCUCCGUUGGUGAACCAGCGGAGGGAUCAUUACAGAGUCUCGUGCUCCCAACCCUAUGUGUACCUACCUCUUGCCUGGGCGGCCGCCGCCGCGGGAGACGAUGGGCCCUGCCUGUCCGAGCCUGUAGCGGCCCGCCGAGGGACCAAAAACCAAUGUAGUUUCUGGCAGAGUCUGAGCUUGUGGGAAUGGAAUGUAAGUCAAAACUUUCAACAACGGAUCUCUUGGUUCUG
rnacentral:misc_RNA from 1 species